CCUACGGGAGGCUGCAGUAGGGAAUCUUCCACAAUGGGCGAAAGCCUGAUGGAGCAACGCCGCGUGGGUGAAGAAGGUCUUCGGAUCGUAAAACCCUGUUGUUAGAGAAGAAAGUGCGUGAGAGUAACUGUUCACGUUUCGACGGUAUCUAACCAGAAAGCCACGGCUAACUACGUGACAGCAGCCGCGGUAAUACGUAGGUGGCAAGCGUUAUCCGGAUUUAUUGGGCGUAAAGGGAACGCAGGCGGUCUUUUAAGUCUGAUGUGAAAGCCUUCGGCUUAACCGGAGUAGUGCAUUGGAAACUGGGAGACUUGAGUGCAGAAGAGGAGAGUGGAACUCCAUGGGUAGCGGUGAAAUGCGUAGAUAUAUGGAAGAACACCAGUGGCGAAAGCGGCUCUCUGGUCUGUAACUGACGCUGAGGUUCGAAAGCGUGGGUAGCAAACAGGAUUAGAUACCCCGGUAGUC
rnacentral:rRNA from 1 species